rnacentral:rRNA from 1 species
GUCAGCAGUCAUACCACCAGCAGUUCAGUCUAGGUCCACCUGAAGCUAAGCAGGUUUGGCCCUGGCCAGUACCUAGUUGGGAGACCAACUAGGAAAGAUUGGUUGAUGCUGGAA